rnacentral:tRNA from 1 species
GCCGGAAUGAUGGAAUUGGCAGACGUGACGGACUCAAAAUCCGUUGUUGGCGACAACGUGUGGGUUCGAGUCCCACUUCCGGCA